rnacentral:rRNA from 1 species
AGUGAACGCUGGCGGUAGGCCUAACACAUGCAAGUCGAACGGCAGCACAGUAAGAGCUUGCUCUUACGGGUGGCGAGUGGCGGACGGGUGAGGAAUACAUUGGAAUCUACUUUUUCGUGGGGGAGAACGUAGGGAAACUUACGCUAAUACCGCAUACGACCUACGGGUGAAAGCAGGGGAUCUUCGGACCUUGCGCGAUUGAAUGAGCCGAUGUCGGAUUAGCUAGUUGGCGGGGUAAAGGCCCACCAAGCCGACGAUCCGUAGCUGGUCUGAGAGGAUGAUCAGCCACACUGGAACUGAGACACGGUCCAGACUCCUACGGGAGGCAGCAGUGGGGAAUAUUGGACAAUGGGCGCAAGCCUGAUCCAGCCAUACCGCGUGGGUGAAGAAGGCCUUCGGGUUGUAAAGCCCUUUUGUUGGGAAAGAAAAGCAGCAGGUUAAUACCCCGCUGUUCUGACGGUACCCAAAGAAUAAGCACCGGCUAACUUCGUG